GACGAACGCUGGCGGCGUGCUUAACACAUGCAAGUCGAACGGAGUGGCGAACGGGUGAGUAACACGUGGGUGACCUGCCCUGCACUUCGGGAUAAGCCUGGGAAACUGGGUCUAAUACCGGAUAGUGUGGGAUGGGCCCGCGGCCUAUCAGCUUGUUGGUGGGGUAAUGGCCUACCAAGGCGGCGACGGGUAGCCGGCCUGAGAGGGUGGACGGCCACCUUGGGGCUGGGGAACGGGCCAGGAUUCUACGGGGGGGAGCAGUGGGGAAUAUUGGACAAUGGGCGGAAGGCUGAUGGAGGGACGCCGCGGUGGGGAUGGCGGCCUUCGGGGUGUAAACCUCCUUCACCAUCCAACCGGUAGAUGGAGAAGAAGCACCGGCUAACUACGUGCCAGCCGCCGCGGUAAUAC
rnacentral:rRNA from 1 species